rnacentral:rRNA from 1 species
AUGGCGCGUGGGCCGUGCUUGCUGUUGGCGCCAUGGGGCACCUUACGCGGCUCCCCGCCCACCCGCACGACAAGUCUGUACAUUGGCCACAACCGGAUCCACAGGAAAGUGGUGCUCGAGAUGGAGGAGGACAUCCAGAUUGAGGAGGUAGCCCCUGGACUGGUGAAGACGCAAAUGGGGACACGAGGAGGUUCAUGGUGGUUCCAGGCUCAUCUCUUUGGUGAGCAGCAGUGCGCUACGUUGGACAGUUACCAAGGCUGGACGGAGGUGUGCUCGUGCGGCCGGACGGUGUCGUCCUGGUCGAGAAGAUCGCCGUACCAAGGCUGCCUGCCGACUCCAAUUCCCUACCGCUGUCAAGCUCUAGAUCAAGCUCCACAUGGACCUGUCUAUCCGUGCGAUACUGCGUUUCCUCUGGUGGCCGUCUGUUCCGCUUGGCGUUUCGUCUGGAUCUGA